rnacentral:rRNA from 1 species
AGAGUUUGAUCCUGGCUCAGGACGAACGCUGGCGGCGCGCCUAACACAUGCAAGUCGAACGGGCGAGAGAGAGCUUGCUUUCUCAAGCGAGUGGCGAACGGGUGAGUAACGCGUGAGGAACCUGCCUCAAAGAGGGGGACAACAGUUGGAAACGACUGCUAAUACCGCAUAAGCCCACGGCUCGGCAUCGAGCAGAGGGAAAAGGAGCAAUCCGCUUUGAGAUGGCCUCGCGUCCGAUUAGCUAGUUGGUGAGGUAACGGCCCACCAAGGCGACGAUCGGUAGCCGGACUGAGAGGUUGAACGGCCACAUUGGGACUGAGACACGGCCCAGACUCCUACGGGAGGCAGCAGUGGGGAAUAUUGCACAAUGGGGGAAACCCUGAUGCAGCGACGCCGCGUGGAGGAAGAAGGUCUUCGGAUUGUAAACUCCUGUUGUUGAGGAAGAUAAUGACGGUACUCAACAAGGAAGUGACGGCUAACUACGUGCCAGCAGCCGCGGUAAAACGUAGGUCACAAGCGUUGUCCGGAAUUACUGGGUGUAAAGGGAGCGCAGGCGGGAAGACAAGUUGGAAGUGAAAUCCAUGGGCUCAACCCAUGAACUGCUUUCAAAACUGUUUUUCUUGAGUAGUGCAGAGGUAGGCGGAAUUCCCGGUGUAGCGGUGGAAUGCGUAGAUAUCGGGAGGAACACCAGUGGCGAAGGCGGCCUACUGGGCACCAACUGACGCUGAGGCUCGAAAGUGUGGGUAGCAAACAGGAUUAGAUACCCUGGUAGUCCACACCGUAAACGAUGAUUACUAGGUGUUGGAGGAUUGACCCCUUCAGUGCCGCAGUUAACACAAUAAGUAAUCCACCUGGGGAGUACGACCGCAAGGUUGAAACUCAAAGGAAU